rnacentral:pre_miRNA from 1 species
ACCAUCCUCUUCGGUUCUGCAUGCCAAGGCACAAGACACAAAGAAGUGCUUCUUGUGCCUUGGCAUGCAGAACCGAAGAGGAUGGUAAGAAAGCUC